CAGAGUGUAGCUAAGAUAGAAAAGCGUCUCCCUUACACUGAGAAGUCCCCCGUGCAAAUCGGAGCCCCCUGAU
rnacentral:tRNA from 1 species